rnacentral:misc_RNA from 1 species
AGCAGCCGCGGUAAUUCCAGCUCCAAUAGCGUAUAUUAAAGUUGUUGCAGUUAAAAAGCUCGUAGUUGAAUUUCGGGAUUGACGUGACGGUCGUGCCUUACGGGGUAUGAACUGUUGCUGUUGAUUUCUCACCUUCUGGAGAAACUUGAUGUCCUUAAUUGGGUGUCUUGCGGAUCCAGGACCUUUACCUUGAAAAAAUUAGAGUGUUUAAAGCAGGCAUUUUUGCUCGAAUACAUUAGCAUGGAAUAAUAGAAUAGGACGGCAUGGUUCUAUUUUGUUGGUUUCUAGGAUCACCGUAAUGAUUAAUAGGGAUAGUUGGGGGCAUUAGUAUUCAAUUGUCAGAGGUGAAAUUCUUGGAUUUAUUGAAGACUAACUACUGCGAAAGCAUUUGCCAAGGAUGUUUUCAUUAAUCAAGAACGAAAGUUAGGGGAUCGAAGACGAUCAGAUACCGUCGUAGUCUUAACCAUAAACUAUGCCGACUAGGAAUCAGACGAUGUUAAUUUUUUAAUGACUCGUUUGGCACCUUACG